GACGAACGCUGGCGGCGUGCUUAACACAUGCAAGUCGAGCGAAGUAUUCAAGAUAGAUUUCUUCGGAUUGAAGUCUUGAAUAUCUUAGCGGCGAACGGGUGAGUAACGCGUGAGAAACCUGCCUUUCACAAAGGGAUAGCCUCGGGAAACUGGGAUUAAUACCUUAUGAUACUUACAUUUCACAUGAGAAGUAAGUUAAAGCGCAAAGCGGUGAAAGAUGGUCUCGCGUCCCAUUAGUUAGUUGGUGAGGUAACGGCUCACCAAGACCGCGAUGGGUAGCCGGCCUGAGAGGGUGAACGGCCACACUGGAACUGAGAUACGGUCCAGACUCCUACGGGAGGCAGCAGUGGGGAAUAUUGCACAAUGGAGGAAACUCUGAUGCAGCGACGCCGCGUGAGUGAAGAAGGCCUUCGGUCGUAAACUUAGUCCUAGGGGACGAGUAAUGACGGUACCCUACGGAGGAAGCCCCGGCGUAACUACGUGCCAGCAGCCGCGGUAACUAUCACGUGUA
rnacentral:rRNA from 1 species